rnacentral:misc_RNA from 1 species
GAUGAAGAACGUAGCGAAAUGCGAUAAGUAAUGUGAAUUGCAGAAUUCAGUGAAUCAUCGAAUCUUUGAACGCACAUUGCGCCCGCCAGUAUUCUGGCGGGCAUGCCUGUCCGUGCGUCAUUUCAACCCUCGAACCCCUCCGGGGGGUCGGCGUUGGGGAUCGGCCCUGCCUCUGGCGGUGGCCGUCUCCGAAAUACAGUGGCGGUCUCGCCGCAGCCUCUCCUGCGCAGUAGUUUGCACACUCGCAUCGGGAGCGCGGCGCGUCCACAGCCGUUAAACACCCAACUUCUGAAAUGUUGACCUCGGAUCAGGUAGGAAUACCCGCUGAACUUAAGCAUAUCAAUAAGCGGAGGA